rnacentral:rRNA from 1 species
AUGUACAUGCACGGAGCUACUAGAAAAGAUAUGCUAGGGGGCGGGAGUGCACCGAUGCAAACACGGCACGGCUCUCUGCUGCCAAAAGAAUCCAGCGCGCCCACAGGGCGAAGAACUCGAUCGACCUAUCCCCAGAACGAACCACCCAAAGAAUUACACUACACCAUGAACGAAAAGAAAGACAAGGGCCGAUCACAGCUUCAAGCUGAACUUGCAGUUGCUGGCCUUGAUCUUGAUCUGGCUGCUGGCGUUGAGGAGGCUGUCGACGACGAGGUCGCAGCGCACCCUGGACGUGACCGUCCACAGCUUGAGGCUGCCGAGCUCCACCCGCACGGGCACGUCGGCGCGGAACACCAGCGGCACGGCGCCCGUCUGCUGCUCGUCGCGCAGCGCCGCCACCACCGCGCUGCCCAGCUGCGCCUGCCCGGCCAUUACCACGCCCAGCACCGUCGUGUUGCGGCGGCCCUGGUAGAAGGCCGGGAGCGCGCCCUGGGCGAGCCGGUGGGUGUCGUACCACACGCUCAGGCUGGACCCGCGCUCGUAGAAGAUGCCGAUGCGGCUGUUGGGGUUCGCCGCCGUCACCGUGACGUCGAACCGCGCGCUCGCCGUGAGGGUCGGGUCCACCUGGAACUGCGACACCGACAGCCGGUCCACCGAGUAGUGGGGCGCCUUGGGCUGGAACACCAGGUAGAGCGCGCCCAGGGCCACCGCGGCGAGGACGGCGAGCAGGAUGACGGUCACCAGGACGCAGCAGAUGAAGCGGCAGCAGCAGCCCCUGCGCCGCUUCGGCGGGGGCAGCGGCUGGUGGUGCGGCGGCCUCCUGUCCGGGGCCGCGGCAGGGUCGCCCUUGUCGGACCGGAACGAGCUCCCCGGCGGCACCAGCGGCGCCGAGGGCCUCGGCUGGCCCGCCUCCAGGUCCACCGGGUGGAUCCUCUGCCUCUGGUGAUCCGCCAUGGCCGACCAGCUAGCUAG